AUCAUACAUUUACAUUAUUUGUCUCCUUUAUCUUGAUAUGAAACACAUUUUCUGCGAUUUUUCUCAUAACACUUUUUCGUUUUGUUAUGAUAUGAGGCAUUUAUUUGUAAUCUGUCUAACGAUGUACAUCACUGUAAGUCAAGUACAUCGUUAGCAAACUGUCCUGUAUUUUCACAUUCGUGCAUAGGAGAACUCAUCAUUUUGCUGCACAGAGCAAAGUCAGUUUCGUGCAAUAUACAUAUACCUUUUGCGGUUGUAGAGAUACUCACAAUCAAUCCAGUGUGCUACGUAAGGCGCGGAGAUACUCACAAUCAAUCCAGUGUGCUACGUAAGGCGCGGAGGUAAACUUGGCCCACCGAUAUAUCCACCUUAUCACUCCUAAC